CAGUGAGACCGCAGCACAUUUACAUCUGUGUACUUCUUGGUUUACGUUAUAUAUCAGUAGAAGUUAAGAAUGACAAAAUGAAGAACGAGACUAAAGCAGCUGACCCCAGAGGGCGCUGGCUGCCGUCCUUCAUUCUGAGGACCCAGGCAGCAUGCAGGCUCUCCCAAGGCGAGGUCCAGCGACACUCCAAGGCUUGCAGCGCCAGGCGACAGCCCUUCUUCCGGCUCCCUCUUCCGGUUUCCACCCCAGCCCUCUGGUCACUUCCUUUCUGCAGCAUUAGUGACAGCGUGCUAGCGCUGUUCGCCUUUCAGGAGAAGGACUCUGAAAUUGCACUGACCAGAUUAUGCCAAAUCACUGCCUGCUCUUCUCUGUUUACGCUGCUGCUCGCUAGACUUCCUGUGAGCACCUAGGAAAGGGCUUUUUCCAAGCUGCUUGGAGAAAGGGAGAGGGAGACAGGAGAGGUGAGAGAGGGAAUGAGGCGAGGAGAGUCCGACCAAGGAGCAUCCUCCUCCGGGGCCUCAGAAGCCCAUCUGUGCUGGUAACACCCUUUCCCGGCGCCUCGCUCAGCUUGGCAAGUAACAUGGAGAUGACGGUUAGACCUGGGGAACUCGUGAGCACUGGCUCUGUCCUCAUGGAAACUGCUCUGUUCCCUCGGGCCCGUGCUGUUGAAGGCUGCACUUCCACCCGGCCCACAGGACAUAAAGCAGGUACCUCCUCGGGUUCCUUCUGCCUCUUCUCCACCUUGACUGUGGUGGGCUCCAUACAACUGGCUGGGGGGAAGCAGGACGGAAUGUCCCCCGGAAGACCCACGUGUGAAGGGCCACCCGGUGACCCACAGAGCUACAACUUCGGUUAUUACGGAAAGCAUCAUUUGCCAGCUCCCGACAGCAUUUCAGGAAGUUUUGCUCACAUUCCAAGUUUGUCGCUUGUUUCUUAAAGAUGAAGAAUAUGCCCUAUACUUCUUUUUCUUCUCCAACAGUGCCUAACACUUUGCUGAGACCACAGAAAUAAAUCUAGAAUUGUUCCACAUAGU
rnacentral:lncRNA from 1 species